rnacentral:sRNA from 12 species
GUCGUCACCACCAUGUGACGUAAAGAGCUUUCAGAUUGAGAGCUGACAAACUGUUAAGGAAGAAAUCGAUG